UGGGGUGUAGCUUAGUGGUACAGCACUUCCUUAGCAUCUAAGAAACCCUGGGUUCCAUCCCUUGCACCCCCA
rnacentral:tRNA from 1 species